CGACUAAUCAAAAAAAACUCCAGUACUUUAAAAUGUUUUUGCAUUGGACUGGAACUUACUACAGCUGGCCACUGGCCCAUAUAAAAAGGCUGCAGAGGAGUGAUGUGCAGUUCCUCCACAUGAGCGGAAUAGGUGUGGACCCUCUUGCUUAAAUGACGACAUACAGAUGAUGAGGCAGAUGCCCAAUCAAGAUAUCUUUUGGACCUUAGUGGAGGUAUUGGAAACGGAAACAGGGGAGAAAAAGCAGAUCAUUGCAUCCCUAAUCAUGUCAUUUAAUGACCCCUUGUUCCCUGUAUAGAAGCAUCUGCAUUCAUUAUGUUUUUAUUUCCACUUAUUCACUUGAUACCUUAAAGGAACAGAAGAGACCUUGGUGAACGGACAGGCAUAUAUUUUGUCGUGCUACGGCUGACGAUUUUAUACGUGGAUAUAUGCUGUUUUGCCAGAAACCAGAAAGAUAUACACUGGGACAUUGAGGGCUUGAGGAACAGCUUUCACUGAUGUGAUGAGUGCUGACCCUGCAGCUUUUCUUCAACUGCCAACCAUCUUUGUGUCAUUCAAAUUCUCUGCAUAUCCUCCAGUCCGAAUAAACUACCAGAUACCAGGUGGAAAUGUCCCAAUUCUGCCCCAGAGCUUGUGAUAAAAAAGAGAAGUGUCAACAUGUUCAUGACAGGCACUACGGCUUUGUGAUAUCCAUGUUCCCAGUGAGGAAUACUGCCUUUGUGAGUGACAGAACAAGAGAAAAUAACAUGUUUUGAUCUUCUUCUUUAAAUCUUUACAUUUUUCAUUUGCAGUCAUAAUUUAAAGCAACCUUUACCAGUGAAUCCCUACAACCUCACAGCACUGUAUGUCUGCUGACAGUAUUACAUUAUGUUUAGUUGACAUGGCCCAUAGCUCCUUACGCUUUCCUCCCUGAUCAGAUUUAAUCCUAUUUAUUCACAACGUUGUAUCCCUUUGUCCUGGUUUGACAUUUGGAGUAAGUAAAUUCACUGGAGUUAUUUUUAGUGCCACCUACUGAAAUGAAGUCGUAGUACAACGGCUGUAGUGCUGCACAAGUGCUGCAUGUGUAGACUCAUAACAGCACUCUAGGUAGGUUAGUGGGAUAAAAAGCCAAUCACUUGACUUCAUCUACUCCCACUGAAAAAUUAAAGAAAUUGGUGUUAUGCACAGCAGGGGAAGUGGGAAAAGUGUGUGAAGAGAAGAAGAGAGACUGCAUGUGUGUGCCUCCAGUUGGUGUCAGACAGCGUCACUACCACAAAGAGAUCUGUUUUGACUAGAUUCCACAGCCCUUAGUCCUUCAGACCUGUGACAUUUAAUCUCACUAAGACCUCAUUUACUCUGUUCACUGGGUAACAACAUUCCUCAGAUUAACAAGCUUGCUCCACAAGCUCUUAGCAGACCUGCCUGUAGCCAUCUAAGCACACAAACUACACCCCCAUGUGAUAAACAAGAAGCCAAUCUUCUACUUUAUUCUCUAUUCUCUUAAAGUGAGAAAUGAAAGUGCUAGUAGGAAAAACUUCCAGGUAGUGUGUGCAGUUAGGAUCCAUCCAACAGGUUUCAUUACAAGAGUAUUUGCUAUGCAAAUGUGAUUGUGUACUUUCCCUACUGCAGGCAGGUAUUUUACUUCCUGGCUGCAAGGCCAAGGCAGUGUGUAAUGUUUACACUGAUCUUUGGCACAGAGCAAAUUUGUUUUGCCGACAAAUCUCACUGCACUAUGACAAUGUGGAAAAGAAAAUCUGGUGAAAAUGUAAAAAUCAUGAUAUAAUAGUUGAUGUUAUCCUAUAACACAAUAUCGUAUAAGUGUUAAUCAACUGUUGUAUGCUGCUUGGUUCGGCAAGUUUGGACACUGUUAGUAAAAAAAGGAUUGUGUCAU